AUUGAACGCUGGCGGCAGGCCUAACCCAUGCAAGUCGAACGAGUGGCGGACGGGUGAGUAAUGUCUGGGAAACUGCCCGAUGGAGGGGGAUAACUACUGGAAACGGUAGCUAAUACCGCAUACCAUCGGAUGUGCCCAGAUGGGAUUAGCUAGUAGGGUGGGUAACGGCUUACCUAGGCGACGAGCCCUAGCUGGUCUGAGAGGAUGACCGGACACACUGGAACGUAGACACGGUCCAGACGCCUACGGGAGGCAGCAGUGGGGAAUAUUGCACAAUGGGCGCAAGCCUGAGGCAGCCAUGCCGGGUGUAUGAAGAAGGCCUUCGGGUUGUAAAGUACUUUCAGCGAGGAGGAGUUACUCGCAGAAGAAGCAUCGGCUAACUCCGGGCCAGCCGCCGCGGUAAUAC
rnacentral:rRNA from 1 species